rnacentral:lncRNA from 1 species
UAAGAGAAUUCAAAGAUUAGUAGAUAUUUACGAAAAAAAAGGUUAGUAGAUGAUGGAGUCUUAAAGGCUCUUGACUUUAUGGACUUUGAUACUUGUAUAGACUGUAUAAAGAAAAAGUAGACUAACAAGACCACUAAAAGUGCCAAAAGGAGUACUGAGCUUCUAGAGAUCAUACGUAUAGAUAUCUAUGGACCAUUUUCUAUGUCA